rnacentral:lncRNA from 1 species
UAAUCCGUGACUUAUUACAUCACUAAUUUGACCAAAGAAAUAUAUUAAAUUAAAAUCACCCUAAAGAUACGAUUAUUAUUAUGGUAUUCUAAUGAAUAUAUUAAAUUAAACGCAUGAUAUUAAUUUAUUUUCUUUUAAAGGACUAUUUCGAAUACUGCCCUAAAGCUUCCAGCGCCGCCGUUCGCGACAACCACGCCGGAGAACGGGACGAUGAGCAGCAACUCGCCGGCCCUCCACCGCGAUUCCGACGACGACGACGAUCAGGGCGAGGUCUUCCUCGACGACUCCGACAUCAUCCACGAGGUCGCCGUCGACGACGAAGGUUCAUCUUCUUCUUCAUCAUCUUCAUCAUCAUCAUCAUCUCUCUCGCUUCUAAUUGUAUCAGAAGGUUUCGAGACAAGCGCAGCUCAGUUGGAGCGUCUCUAGAUGUGAAAGGGCGUCGAGGGUGUCUUUAAUUUCUUUGCUUUGGUUCCAUUCUCGUCUGGUUUUGUAUAUGGGUCGGGUAGAGGUUCUGGGUCCUUCGUAUCUCUGACUCCUCCGUUGUGUUUGCAGAUCUUCCUGACGCAGACGAUGAGGCAGAUGAGGCAGGUAGGACUAAUGCAAUGGUUUUCUUCGUUUUUGUUUAUCUGGGUUUCGUGAAUUCAUGAGGUUCAGGGAUAUUACGAGUGGG